rnacentral:rRNA from 1 species
CGGCGCGGUGAGUUCCUGGGGCCCAGAUCGUUUACCGUGAAAAAAUUAGAGUGUUCAAAGCAGGCAGAUCCAAUUUUCUGCCACCGAAUACAUUAGCAUGGGAUAAUGGAAUAGGACCCUGUCCUCCUAUUUUCAGUUGGUUUGAAGACCAGGGUAAUGAUUAAUAGGGAUAGUUGGGGGGCAUUAAUAUUUAAUUGUCAGAGGUGAAAUUCUUGGAUUUAUGAAAGAUUAACUUCUGCGAAAGCAUCUGCCAAGGAUGUUUUCAUUAAUCAAGAACGAAAGUUAGGGG